GUGAGGAAUAUUGGACAAUGGGCGCAAGCCUGAUCCAGCCAUGCCGCGUGCAGGAAGACGCAUCUAUGGUGUGUAAACUGCUUUUGUACGGGAAGAAACACUCCCUCGUGAGGGAGCUUGACGGUACCGUAAGAAUAAGGAUCGGCUAACUCCGUGCCAGCAGCCGCGGUAAUACGGAGGAUCCAAGCGUUAUCCGGAAUCAUUGGGUUUAAAGGGUCCGUAGGCGGUUUAAUAAGUCAGUGGUGAAAGCCCAUCGCUCAACGAUGGAACGGCCAUUGAUACUGUUAGACUUGAAUUACAAGGAAGUAACUAGAAUAUGUAGUGUAGCGGUGAAAUGCUUAGAUAUUACAUGGAAUACCAAUUGCGAAGGCAGCUCACUAAGGCGAUACUGACGCUGAGGCACGAAAGCGUGGGGAUCGAACAGGAUUAGAUACCCGGGUAGUCC
rnacentral:rRNA from 1 species